UGUGGUGGCGAUAGCGAGAAGGAUACACCUGUUCCCAUGCCGAACACAGAAGUUAA
rnacentral:rRNA from 1 species